rnacentral:rRNA from 1 species
AGCUCCAAUAGCGUAUAUUAAAGUUGUUGCCGUUAAAAAGCUCGUAGUCGAACUUCGGCGCCUGAUGGCCGGUCCGCCUUCUUGGUGUGUACUUGCUCAUCGGGCGCUUACCUCCUGGUGAACUCUGAUGUCCUUUAUUGGGUGUCAGAGCAAACCAGGACGUUUACUUUGAAAAAAUUAGAGUGUUCAAAGCAGGCCUACGCCCGAAUACAUUAGCAUGGAAUAAUAGAAUAGGACGCGCGUUCCCAUUUUGUUGGUUUCUGAGAUCGCCGUAAUGAUUAAUAGGGAUAGUUGGGGGCAUUUGUAUUCCGUCGUCAGAGGUGAAAUUCUUGGAUUGCCGGAAGACAAACUACUGCGAAAGCAUUUGCCAAGGAUGUUUUCA